GCUGGCGCUGGCACAGGAGCUUGGGAUCCGUCUCCUCUUUCGCCUCCUCCACCUUGGGAGCCCCGGGCUACUCUCUCACAGCCCUUGUUGCCCUGUGAUCUGAAGGUCCUUGGGGACGCAUAGUUAAGGUGCCAGGACAUCCUGGAAGCUGGGAAAUGAUUGUUGCAGUGUCAGGACCAAGGUCAAAUGAGUUAUAGCCAAGUCUACAGUAAGAUGUGGCAGUAUUCUGUUUUGAAGCCGGGACCAUGAUUGGUAAGCUUGCCACUUGGUCAAGUGCUCACCCUCUGAAGAUGUCUUCCUUGGUCUUUGCCUCCAGCUGGGUGUCACAAACUCUGAACUGGAUUCCAAGGCUUUCAUGAAUUCACUUAUGUUUGCUGUGGCAGCUGCAUUAUGUCGUGGGGGAUGUGGAUGCAGAACCUCACAUUCUGUCAUCUUGCUUAUGUUACUCUCCUUUAUGUUUCACUUUCUCAAAUGAAUGUCAAGCAGGUGAUUUUCAGAUUCAAAAGUUCUAAAAUAAAUUGCUCAAAUUUACACAUUAUGUAAGCUGUUAAUAAAAUGUCUUGUAGGUGCUACAUAUUUAUUAAAAUUUUUGGUUGUAAUUUUAAGCUCACUGUAGGCAGAAAGGAAUCAUUAAGAUUUCUAUUCUUUUUUAGUCUGUAUCUAAAUGACCACAUAUUUUAAUUCCAAAUAUUUACUUUAUGCUUCAGUAAUGCUCAUUGUAUUUUGCAAAAUUUAUAUUGUUCUUUUAUUUGAAAAUAUAAGGCUUUUUUUUAGCUCCUGAAAGCUAUA
rnacentral:lncRNA from 1 species